AGUGAACGCUGGCGGCGUGCUUAACACAUGCAAGUCGAACGAGAACGGGUUAUAGCUUGCUAUAAUUGUCAGCUAAGUGGCGCACGGGUGAGUAAUGUAUAGGUAAUAUGCCUCUUACUAAGGGAUAACAAAUGGAAACGUUUGCUAAUACCUUAUACUCCUUAUUAACAGAAGUUAAUAAGGGAAAGAUUUAUUGGUAAGAGAUUAGCCUGUAUUGUAUCAGUUAGUUGGUGGGGUAAUGGCUUACCAAGACUAUGACACAUAACUGGUUUGAGCGGAUGAUCAGUCACGCUGGAACUGAGACACGGUCCAGACUCCUACGGGAGGCAGCAGUGGGGAAUAUUGCACAAUGGACGAAAGUCUGAUGCAGCAACGCCGCGUGGAGGAUGACACAUUUCGGUGCGUAAACUCCUUUUAUAUGAGAAGAUAAUGACGGUAUUAUAUGAAUAAGCACCGGCUAACUCCGUGCCAGCAGCCGCGGUAA
rnacentral:rRNA from 1 species